rnacentral:pre_miRNA from 1 species
UGGCCCCGGAAAUCAAGGGUGGGUAAGACCUCGUACACAAGCUUUAAGGCGACCCAUACUUGGUUUCAGGGGCUG